rnacentral:rRNA from 1 species
GACGAACGCUGGCGGCGUGCCUAAUACAUGCAAGUAGAACGCUGAAACUUGGUGCUUGCACCGAGCGGAUGAGUUGCGAACGGGUGAGUAACGCGUAGGUAACCUGCCUGGUAGCGGGGGAUAACUAUUGGAAACGAUAGCUAAUACCGCAUAAGAGUAGAUGUUGCAUGACAUUUGCUUAAAAGGUGCAAUUGCACCACUACCAGAUGGACCUGCGUUGUAUUAGCUAGUUGGUGGGGUAACGGCUCACCAAGGCGACGAUACAUAGCCGACCUGAGAGGGUGAUCGGCCACACUGGGACUGAGACACGGCCCAGACUCCUACGGGAGGCAGCAGUAGGGAAUCUUCGGCAAUGGACGGAAGUCUGACCGAGCAACGCCGCGUGAGUGAAGAAGGUUUUCGGAUCGUAAAGCUCUGUUGUAAGAGAAGAACGAGUGUGAGAGUGGAAAGUUCACACUGUGACGGUAUCUUACCAGAAAGGGGCGGCUAACUACGUG